rnacentral:lncRNA from 1 species
CUCUUCAUUUUGUAAGUCAAGAUUCAACCCCCGCUUUUAAUAUUUAGGAAAUUAAAUUUUCAUCUACUAUAAAAUUUCGAUUAAAAAAUUAAUUAAGACCGAUUGUACAAAGCACAGUUGGCUAAGGGCUCGAUGAUAAUACCCAAAGUCCCAAAUUUAAAGCCUAACUGGUUCAUCUACUAUAAAAUUUCAAUUAAAAAAUAAAUUAAGACCGACUGUACAAAGCACAGUUGGCUAAGGGGGUUUGAUGACGAUACCCAAAGUCCGAAGUUUAAAACCUUACU